ensembl:lncRNA
GGCUGUUUCAUCAUCCUCCCACACAAAAGCAACAUGUGUCAUCAUUGGAUGUGGAUGUUUUGUCAAGGGCGUUUUAAUGGUGAUUCCGUCCGUUAGUCCAGGUGGCGAAUACUAAAGGUCUGACAGUGUGGUAUAACACGUUCUUUGGAACAGAAUGUGGGAUUGUUCUCUCCCUUGUAUGUCGCUUUGGACAAAAGCGUCUGCUAAAUGACUAAAUGUAAAUGUAAAUGGAUGGUCUGUUUGAUUCUUUUUUGAAGGAUGAUGGUGACGAUGAGGACCCCCAGAUGGGUAAGCUAGAUAGGUCAUGCCUUUUCAAUAACGUUAUCACUAUAGCAAUGCUCAACAUAUAUGAAUACAAUUAUGUAAAGCUUCAUGAAUAUUAGCACACACAAAAUCAUUACCUUCCUUUAUGUGCACUCCGUACUAGAGAGUCAUUCAAACCCAGAGCAAGGACACGGCUCUUUCAUAGGACACAAACAGCUUCAACAACCUCUAACAUGAGUGUGUGACACACGGGGCUGGGGACACUGCUGACCUCACUUCCUUUUGUUACUUUCAGCAUGAAUUGUGUUUUAAGCUAAGGCAACAGUAAAAGGGUUAGGGACCAUGUAAUCCUUGAGUUUUUAAGUGAUGGUUGAACAAGAUGUAUUCUUAUUCAUACAAUUCAUCCUAACCAUAGCCAUUAAUUCUUCAAUUUCAACUAUGCGUUGUUCCCGUCACCUCGUACACAAAGGGACCACAACAUAACGUGCUACAGACGGUGAAGGACCCUAGGUGUUGUCCAGGGCUUUCCUACACCCUACCUGAUGUAAGGAUUUGGAAGUGGAACCCAGGGUGUGUGGAUUAGCAGUGUUGGGGCGUAGGAAUAGGCUCUCAUUAAUUCGUUUUUUUCAGGAGAUGUAGAGUUUAAGUGGGGUUUAAAGAGAUACAAACCUCUCAAGUUUGUGUUGGGAAUGUAAAAUCAAUCUAUCGUGUUGCCAAUAUAUCCGGUCAUGGGUCCUGGUUUCUUGAAACAGUAUUCUACAAAAUGGCAUGUAACUCCCCUCCCUGACACGUGUUGGUGACUUUAUUUAUUUUUUAUGUUUAUGGGUUAUUUGGGUGUUAGUUUUGGUAGUGAUGUAUGUGCAGAAAAGAUGGCUGUUGUAGGGUCUUUGACACAAAUGUUAAAAGGCCUGUUAUAAUUAUAACAACAUCUGUUCAAACAGCCUUGACACCAUUGUCUGAGUUUUGUUCUAAUUCCUUGUCCAAACUCUCCACCAUGUCUUAUAAAUAUGGUACAGAAAAAUGUCAGCCCGCUAUCUCCUUUCAUUCUUGAGACGUCGCUCUCUCAGUUCUGAUCAGGCACGCCCUAGAUAAUGGUGGCCCACUUUUUAACAUAUUCCUCUAAUUUCUUAACAAAGGAAAUACAUAUUUUUUGCUGAAGAUUUGCAGACUAGGGUAGUUUCAUGUGCAGAUUUCAAAUAUCUUACUGUCUUAACCACCAUUGAUGUCUUACUGAUUGAAACAAACUCAAAUACAUAAUUUGCAGAUAUUGGAAGAAUGUUUUGUUCUCAAGUCAUUUUGGAUGCAGUCCAUUUACAAUUUCAAGUGUAGUCCAUAAGUAUAAAAGGUAUAUACUGAAGACAUUUUGAGAUGGUAUGUUGCCUUAUUCGGGGCGACAGUGGUACAGUAGGUAGAGAAGUCGUUUAGUAAUCAGAAGGUUGCUAGUUCGAUUCCCUGUCGAAGUGUCCUUGAGCAAGACACUGAACCCCUAAUUGCUCCUGAUGUGCAGUGUGCCAUCAGUGUAAAUGUAAAAUGUGUAUACAUUGUAAGUCGCACAUAUGUAAGUCGCUUUGGAUAAAAGCGUCUGCUAAAUGACUAAAGUUGUCACAUCUUUUUAGGUAUAUGGAACAUGUUGCAAGUUAUAUACCCUGCUGUAUGUAGAAAAGGGAUUUGGUUUGCUUAGUUAUGUUACAAAUACAGCCAAUCUAAAUAUCUAAAUAUUAGUUUAAAGGUUCGUGCUUCCCAGGAGCAAUGUCAUUCUUUUGUCCUUAAUUUUAUUCAUAAUACCCUAUUUCUUGUGUGUAAGAUUCAUCAUUUAAGCCUUGUGUAGUGUGGACAUUCUGUAUACUUCCUUUUCUUAAACCCUUUCUGUAUACUUCCCUUUUCCCUUUGCUAAACAUAAUAAUUCAAUUUUUAACCUCAUAAUAAUAAUACAAAUAAUUAUAACAUUAUAAGUAUUUCUAUUAUUGUUAUUAUUAUCAUCAUGAUGACUAUUAUUAUAAUUACAUUAUUUUCAGCACUUGUGAAGGUGGCAGAAAUAUGCAAAGAGUAGGUCUAAAUGCAUUUCAUUGAAGGGAAACAAUAACAUUCUAACCAAAUCCACUCUAAUUAGCACAGUGGGCAGACCUGGCAUCUCCUCCUCGUGCCUGCCUCAGCUGUAGCCUUGGGUGGAUCAGGACAAGAUUCAGCCCCCUGAACAGCCUUCACGAGCACAGCUGAGGCUGCUGUGUGGGCAAGCGCUCCCUUCUUUGGAUGUGGGGCUACGAGAGCCUUUCCCAGCUGCUCCAGGAACACCCUCCUUUUGUUUCCGGGUAUCAGGCAUCCAGGUAGGGUCGAUCUCACUCCACAUCACGACUGGACACAUCAGGCCUCCAGGUAGGGUCUAUCUCACUCCAUAUCACCACUGGACACAUCAGGCAUCCAGGUAGGGUCGAUCUCACUCCACAUCACGACUGGACACAUCAGUGAUAAUAUGGAAGAGGACCCAGGGCCAGUGGGCAGUGAUCCUCGCGCAGCUGUAGGUUCCAAUCACCAUGUCCAGGUUGUCCACACCUCCUUUGUUGGGGUUGUAGUCCAGGAUGAUGGCUGGUCUCCUGGCCUCACGCUCUCUGAUCUCAGCAGGUUUGCGCAGUCUGCCCAGGAGGACCACAUUGCUGUUCCCUAUUUUGGAAGGGAAGGAACUAAAGCAAAGUUUGUGUGUGUGUACGUGUGUGUGUGUGUGUGUGUGUGUGUGUGUGUGUGUGUGUGUGUGUGUGUGUGUGUGUGUGUGUGUGUGUGUGUGUGUACGUGUGUGUGUGUGUGUGUGUGUGUGUGUGUGUGUGUGUGUGUGUGUGUGUGUGUGUGUGUACUUUGAUGAGAAAGCUUUUCUCCCUUCUUGUAGACAGGAAUGCAAGGGGGAGCUCAGGCUUGUUCUUUCUACGUCUCUCUGACUCUUCAGGACCUGCUGGACAGGUUCAUAAGAGGUGUAAAAAAUGGUCACACGUGACAUUGUGACCCCCUCAGUCACAUCAAGCACAACCCGCAUCCCCUGGUUCUUCUCUGGGCCUCCACUGGUCGGCUUCCCGGUGUAAGUGUAACUGGAUUGUACGUCAGAGGCCACCCAUAUUUUUAUGUCAUACUUUGCUGGUUUCCUGGGCAUACACUGCCAAAAAGAACAGCGACCUUUUGACAAAAGAUUACCAUUAGUUAUUAGUAUCAGUGUCGCAGAAAACAAUCACAGAAACCAAUACAAUUACAACAAUAUAUAACAUAUUUACCAGUGAAAAUCACUUACAUUACAGAUGAAUGAAAAUAAAAAUGUCCCUCUGAAUGGAAGCCUUAGUGGCAUUGCUCCGUUGCCCAUCCACUGUCACUGAGGUGGAGGUUUGGUAGACGCUCCACCCACUUCUCCCAGACCUCUCUAAUGGCUGCCAGUUUGUCUGCCACAUGUCUUGCAGGUCUUGACUCCCAGUUAUCAACUUAAAGCAUUCUUGAAAGUGUGAAAGACUUCAGUGGAAUCGUUGCACGGAAAAUCGGCCUUCCACUCUGCAUCCCAGAAACUAGAUGUAGCCCCGCCUCGGGACCUAUACACAUCCUCCAGAUUUGUCAUUUCCAGGAUGAUUUUGUCAAUGGCUGGUGUGAUGAACCUGUAGAAUGUUGAAGCGUUGUCCUGGGCAUGGUCCACUGGGGUAAUCUGUUAGGACAUUUGGUGCUGCCAUCCUGCCCCGGUUGUCACAUGGUGACAAAGACCAGGCUAUUUUUCUGUUCUUUGACAAAAAUGUCUCUCUUUCAGCUUGGGGGAUUUCUUCAUCAUCAUCUGAAGAAGAUGCAUCAUGCUCUGGGUUGUAUUCCUCCCCAUCUUCUUCUGCAGAUACCUCCUCCUCUUCCAAACCAUUAGCCCCUCACUAAAUACCUUUACGAUCUGUAUGCAUGAAGAUGUUUUACUGGUUUGGACUGAUAGAGGAAAUUGACAACUCAAAGGGCUGUUCAAAUCAAAUGUAUGCAUUCAAAAUGCCCAACAAGAUCGUAUUCUUGGCCAGGCAGGGAUGGUAUGUGUUGGGUACCGGCGAAGAACAUACUGUAUACCAUUAAUAUCCCAAUGACAGCAACUAGAGGGCCAGACAAACUACUUGCAGCUGAUGAGGAAAUCCUUGCUAAAAUAAUUACAAAAGAGCACACAGAUCAAUAAACAGAAAUGUUCAGUCAGAUUUAAAGGGACCACUGUGCUGGAGUGAGAAUUAACAAAUAUUGCUUUUCCUAAAUACAAAAUUAUCAUUGUUUUUAAAUUUGACAAAAGUUAUUUGCAAAUCAAUAAUAAUAACACGAAAAUAGUGUUUUCUAUCUCCAAAAGAGGAACUAACCAUUUCACUUACAUAUAUUGAUGUAUUUAUAUUUUGAUUUAAAUCAUUUUCUAUUGUCACUACAGCAUAGUUUGAUUCAGCAGGGUAUAUAACUUGCAAACAACAUAGUGUUCUGUAUAUUUAGAAAUAUAUGGUAACUUUAAGAGCUUCUAGAUUUUGAAUAAGAUGACUUACUAUCUCAUCAUUUCCUCAGUUUAUACCUUUCCCUAUGGAAUACACCUCGGCAAAGGUUUGAAAUAUUAAGUGGACCUCAUCCAAAAUGACUUGAUAACAAAAGAUAUGCAUAAUUUUUUGUGUUGAUACGGAACAACAACAGCGACGGACUGUUUGGAGCUAAUUUGCAUUCCCAUUACGAGUUGAAAGGUGUCAAACUGUGCCGAGCUCAUUUUGGACCCUCUCCUUGGUGAGCCAAACUGUGCCGGGUCCGUCUCCAAAUUCACCAAAUGAUGCCGAAGAUACUAGCUCUUUUGUGAUUGGCUCAGUCAUCAUUCAGCACUUGCCAUAGUGUGUGUAUUUUUGUAUCUCAAGACAUGUAUGAAGCAGGUUGAAAAGUUUAAUCCGGUGGCUAUCUACAACUGGUCCUCGAUUGGCCGGAAUCGAAGUGUUGGUCCCUUUAAAGGGACAUUUCUGUAUUGUCCCCAUCUUUUCAGGGCCAAAGCUUUACUAGGUAAAAGGUUUACUUGGUCCAGUAUUGAGUUAGAAUGCUAUAACCGGCCACUGCAAAUCGCCAAUACAAUGAAAUCCAAAUUGGGCAGGCAUCUGGGUCAAAGUCAAAUGCUUGUUUAUGCCAAUAACAGGCUCAUAAUGUUAUUAUAAGUGUCUGACAACAUGAGAGAUAGAUAUAUAUCUGUUUACCUCAAUGGACAAAGACAAAGGACAAAGUCAAAGUAAGCCUUCUCAUGUUGUCAGACCCUUGGUGGUUUACUUUGACAUGCUGGUUGCCUCAUAGGAUGGACCGAUUAAUAACAAGAUGAAAAAUCCCAAAGUUGCCCUUGAAGUAGUGCAUCUACACUCUGACAAGUCAAUGCGGUGAAAGUGUCUCUUUUGCACCAUGCACGUUCUGCCAAAGUCACAUGAUAAACAAUGUGUGGUUGUGUGUGUAGGUCACUGUAUCCAAGGCUCCUGGUCCACUUGUGGCAUCACAGGCGGUUGGCAAACAAGUCCUCAAUCUGCAAUAUGAGCUCUGUACAAAUAAAGAGACAAUAUCCAUUGCGAGUGUCAGUGGGGUCAUGGCCAUUGUGUUCAUGAUACAUGUGCUGUGCAAUAACAGAGCUAACAUUGCCUGUCUUAGCAGUUGAAAGGAAAAUAGGAUCUCUUCCCGUCUCUUCAAAUAAAGCUAAAUAUAUUGCGUUGAACUGUAACAUGUCAAAUAAUCAUUACUAGUGACACUUCAGUACAUGGACCACUUAUUUAAAUUCAACCCUUUAUGUAUCAUUCAAGCCUGAAUGACAAGGAUUCCAUCAUGUAAAUACCUUUAGUGAUAUAUGCUCUUAGUAAUAUAUAACCACAUGAGUCAUAGUGCAGAUUAAGGAGAGUACCUACAGGAUAUAUAUUUCUUGUUCACACAGAGAAAAAAAAAAUUGCGCUACAAAGUAGUUGAUGAGAAAAGUAUAUUAAAAGCAUCAACACCCAUACUAAAAGCAUCAACAAAGGCAUAGUGUCAACUCCCAUGUUCCAUAUUGUGAUGCUGAAGUCUCUGGACCAAGCUUAUGUCUUUCCAAGAUCAAGACAAAACGUUAAUGCUUGAUCUAGCCAAGAAACCAUAUUAAAUGUAUACAUUGUGAGUCAAGAAGUAUGUCAACCCAAGUAUGUCAGGCCUGAGCAUUUUUACUUUUUGUAUAGAAAGAAAUGUUUGAUCUGAAAGUGAAAAAAGUGAGAGCACCAUAUUGUAUGAUAUGAGAUGUAGCUACUAAUUUUACAAUGAACUACUGCAGUGUAAACAAUGACCAUGACGUGUCAAAGCCUAUGCAACAAUCUGUUGGCAUGAUUCUUCUCGUCUAAUCUGGGCUCUACAUGAUUUAUAAGUGGUUAUCAAGCCAAAAUCAAUACUCAUUUGGAAUGAGGGGGGGGAAUUAAACUAUAUGGCACUUUCGGUGAGACCCAAACAGCAUUUGUCUCUCACUCUCCAUCCUGUUUGACGGCCCAAUCCAUUCCUAACAUGAUGGAGUUAGCUGCUCAGCGGCCAAAUCAUGCAUCAUCCAUUCUGGGAUUCACGUGGGACUGCCAUGGCCUUCACAGCAGUCAUCAUUCUGCUAAUCAUCCACGAGCCUCAAAUGAGCACCCAUAUUGUGAGAGCUGAUCAUUUGGCCGACUGAUUAUUCCUAUAUUUCUGACACUUUGACAAGUUAUUAAUGAUGAAUACACAGGCACAGAAGGACCAAAUCACCUUGCCAAUCUCGCAGUGUGUAAUGAUGGUUGGGCGGGGUGGGGGGUGGUGGU